rnacentral:rRNA from 1 species
CCUACGGGUGGCAGCAGUCGAGAAUCAUUCACAAUGGGGGAAACCCUGAUGGGGCGACGCCGCGUGGGGGAAUGAAGGUCUGCGGAGGGUAAACCCCUGUCAUGGGGGAGCAAAGUAAAAAGAUAGUACCACAAGAGGAAGAGACGGCUAACUCGGUGCCAGCAGCCGCGGUAAUACAGAGGUCUCAAGCGUUGGGCGGAAUCACUGGGCGUAAAGGGUGCGUAGGCUGUUUCGUAAGUCGUGUGUGAAAGGCGCGGGCGCAACCCGCGGACGGCCCCUGAUACUGCGAGCCUAGAGUAAUGGAGGGGGAACCGGAAUUCUCGGUGUCGCCGU